rnacentral:rRNA from 1 species
GUAGGUGNCAAGCGUUGUCCGGAUUUAUUGGGCGUAAAGGGGGCGCAGGCGGUCUGUUUAGUCUAAUGUGAAAGCCCACGGCUUAACCGUGGAACGGCAUUGGAAACUGACAGACUUGAAUGUAGAAGAGGAAAAUGGAAUUCCAAGUGUAGCGGUGGAAUGCGUAGAUAUUUGGAGGAACACCAGUGGCGAAGGCGAUUUUCUGGUCUAACAUUGACGCUGAGGCUCGAAAGCGUGGGGAGCGAACAGGAUUAGAUACCCUGGUAGUCCACGCCGUAAACGAUGAGUGCUAAGUGUUGGGGGCUUUCCGGCCCUCGGUGCUGGAGCUAACGUAUUAAGCACUCCGCCUGGGGAUU